AGAGAUCAACUCAUCUCCUGCCUACGUACCUCAUCUGGCAUGAGGAUCAGGGCGACGUAGUUCCCCUAAACAGGGAAAGAACUUCUAUCCUAACCAGAGACAAAGGGAGACACAAACUACUAGGGAGACUACGACUCGAGCCUAGAAGUUGUCAUGCAUACGAUCCCUAUGUUGAGGUUUCUAUCCUAACUUGCACAGGAAGCAAGCUAUCCUAAACAGCACAGUCAAACACAUACAAGCACAAUAAAGCAAGCACACACACUAUAUGCAAACAAUUUGGGCUCAUACAAGGCUAGGCUUUAGUCAAGGGGUCAUGUCAACCUCGACAAACAAGCCAACUGGAAAAGGGUGUGGUUAGCUCUUAACCCUAACAUU
rnacentral:lncRNA from 1 species